AACGUUUUUAACGAUUUAGCAUCUUGAACCAACUAGUCAGGACAGAUGGAGCAGGGUGCGAAGCGUCCUGUUCAAUUCUCUAACCAGACAAUUGAACAGAUAUCAAAGCUUUAUUUCA